rnacentral:lncRNA from 1 species
AGCGUGUAGCUUCCCUGCCUCCUUCUUCACUUGUUUUCUUACAUAACUGCAUUAAACAGGAUCAUAGGAUAAAUAGCAAAGGAAAAGUGUACAUAAAGAGCGGCACAAGAAGUCAAAAUAAGGCAAAUGCUCAUGGAAUUGUUCAUUGUUUUGACAGAAACCUGUCAUUUUUCAACCAGAAAUAUGGAGACACAGAUGCAUUAGGACGUAUAAAAUACCAGACUUUAAAUAAACACCAGGUCCUGAUGUGCUUCUACACGCUAACUUUCAGAGCCAUUACAAAUCUUCUCCACAUGUAGGUAUUAAUCCAUGAUGACCCAGUCUCAUAACCUUUCUUUUGAUAAAGUAAACAGAGUAGGCUUGCAUUCUACCCCUACA